rnacentral:RNase_P_RNA from 2 species
CCUGGAGGAUGGGCGACUACCCCGCCUAUGGCGGGGAGGAAAGUCCAGACAGCAAGUAGCAGGAUGCCCCGCGCAAGCGGGGGCAGGUGACUGCCAGUUAGAGCAACAGAGACGAGAAAUGUGAAACGCCAGCCAAAAGCUGGUCGGCCUUUGGCCGAGGCAAUCCUCUCCGCUGCAACCUCCGAUCCGAGUGGGCCGCUACUCCCAAUACUCGAAAGCUUGAGGGCAUUAGAUAGAUUGUCGCCUCAAAACAGAAUCUGGCUUACAAGCCUCCAGGCAUU